UUUAAAUUUCGACGACGGAAAUAUUUGAGAGAGGUUGCCUGGUUCGGUUAUUUAAUCAAAUGGGAGAUUCUAGCAAUCACGGCAAAAGGUGGCCU
rnacentral:misc_RNA from 1 species